GACGAACGCUGGCGGCGUGCUUAACACAUGCAAGUCGAACGCUGAAGCCCUUGGGGGUGGAUGAGUGGCGAACGGGUGAGUAACACGUGGGUAAUCUGCCCUGCACUCUGGGAUAAGCCUUGGAAACGGGGUCUAAUACCGGAUAGGACACAUCGCCGCAUGGUGUGUGUGUGGAAAGUUCCGGCGGUGCAGGUUGAGCCCGCGGCCUAUCAGCUUGUUGGUGGGGUGAUGGCCUACCAAGGCGACGACGGGUAGCCGGCCUGAGAGGGUGACCGGCCACACUGGGACUGCGACACGGCCCAGACUCCUACGGGAGGCAGAAGUGGGGAAUCUUGCGCAAUGGGCGAAAGCCUGACGCAGCAACGCCGCGUGGGGGAUGACGGCCUUCGGGUUGUAAACCUCUUUCGACCGGGACGAAGGAUUCGUUUGACGGUACCGGUAGAAGAAGCACCGGCUAACUACGUGCCAGCCGCCGCCGUAAGAC
rnacentral:rRNA from 1 species